rnacentral:rRNA from 1 species
GAGUUUGAUCCUGGCUCAGAUUGAACGCUGGCGGCAGGCCUAACACAUGCAAGUCGAGCGGCAGCACAGGUGCUUGCACCGGGUGGCGAGCGGCGGACGGGUGAGUAAUGCCUAGGAAUCUGCCUGGUAGUGGGGGAUAACGCUCGGAAACGGACGCUAAUACCGCAUACGUCCUACGGGAGAAAGCAGGGGACCUUCGGGCCUUGCGCUAUCAGAUGAGCCUAGGUCGGAUUAGCUAGUUGGUGAGGUAAUGGCUCACCAAGGCGACGAUCCGUAACUGGUCUGAGAGGAUGAUCAGUCACACUGGAACUGAGACACGGUCCAGACUCCUACGGGAGGCAGCAGA